rnacentral:rRNA from 1 species
CAUAUAAUUAAGCGGAGGAAAAGAAACUAACUAGGAUUCCCUCAGUAACGGCGAGUGAAGCGGGACUAGCUCAGGAUGUGAAUCUGCGCUUUUAUGGCGCCGAAUUGUGGUCUGUAGACUUUGACAUUAUUUGCCGGGCCAAGUUCCUUGGAAAAGGACAGCUGAGAGGGUGACACUCCCGUCCGCCUGGCAGAGUGAGUCAUUUGUCAACGAGUCGAGUUGUUUGGGAUUGCAGCUCUAAUUUGGUGGUAAAUUCCAUCUAAAGCUAAAUAUUGGUGGGAGACCGAUAGCGUACAAGUACCGUGAGGGAAAGAUGCAAAGAACUUUGAAAAGAGAGUUAAAGAGUACCUGAAACUGCUGAAACGGAAGCGAAGGAAACCAGUGUUUGUUUGUUCAUAUUUCCCUAGCCACUUGUGGCUUGGGCGCUGUGGGCUUGCGUGAGUUUGGGUUGGUUGAUUCCUUUGGAAGAGCGCAGUCAGAGUUGAUGUCUGUUGCUAGCACUGGAUUUGACUGAUGCAGACGAAAUGGUUUUCUUUACCCCGUCUUGAAACACGGACCAAGGAGUCUAACAUAUGUGCGAGUACAGGGGUGUCAAACCCCCGUGCGCAAUGAAAGUGACAGUGGUUGGAAUUUUUGCACAAUCCGCCGGCCUCAAUCCUUCGGGAGAACGGUCUGAGUGUGAGCAUACAUGUUGGGACCCGAAAGAUGGUGAACUAUGCCUGAAUAGGGUGAAGCCAGGGGAAACUCUGGUGGAGGCUCGUAGCGAUUCUGACGUGCAAAUCGAUCGUCAAAUUUGGGUAUAGGGGCGAAAGACUAAUCGAACCAUCUAGUAGUGGGUCCCCCCUCCAGAGAAAAAGGUGCCAAAAGAUUAAUUCGAAU